UAGAUCUUUUGGUUGUUGCAGAGUC
rnacentral:piRNA from 1 species